UGUUAUUGCCCCUGAAGACCUUCCAGUGGGACAAAAUGUGAAGGUGGAAGACAGUGACACGGAUGAUUCUGACCCUGUGGAGGCAGUAAGCCAAUGUGUGA